rnacentral:rRNA from 1 species
AGGACGAACGCUGGCGGCGUGCUUAACACAUGCAAGUCGAGCGGAAAGGCCCUUCGGGGUACUCGAGCGGCGAACGGGUGAGUAACACGUGAGUAACCUGCCCCUAGCUCUGGGAUAGCUCCGGGAAACCGGGAUUAAUGCCAGAUACGACCACUUUAGACAUCUGUCGUGGUGGAAAGGAUUCCGGCUAGGGAUGGGCUCGCGGCCUAUCAGCUUGUUGGUGGGGUAACGGCCUACCAAGGCGACGACGGGUA